GUUCAAGUAUAGAAUUUAGAACCUUGGACUGCCAUGAGUCAGUGGCUCAGUGCUCAUUUCAAGAAAAUCUUAAGAUCUCCAUUUAUCAGGCAUCUCAAAUUCAGGUAAAACAAUGAAAGGAUUUCCAUAUCUCUACAUUUAGAUUCACCGUGCCCCUGUUAUCAGUGCCAAACACCAUCAUCACCACUUAGUCCAUCCCCAUUCCACCUUUUGGACAAAUAGCAACUGCAGUACCAAUGCUGAAACAGUGAUUACAACAAUUACAUGGCACCUCUUUAGCCACCGCCAACAUUAUCACAAUUUAAAUUGCUGCACCAUUACCAUCAAUGGAAAAACCACAACUUUCUCU
rnacentral:misc_RNA from 1 species